CCUACGGGGGGCUGCAGUGGGGGAUAUUGCACAAUGGGGGAAACCCUGAUGCAGCGACGCCGCGUGAGUGAAGAAGUAUUUCGGUAUGUAAAGCUCUGUCAGCAGGGAAGAAAGAAAUGACGGUACCGGACCAAGAAGCCCCGGCUAACUACGGGCCAGCAGCCGCGGUAAUACGUAGGGGGCAAGCGUUAUCCGGAAUUACUGGGUGUAAAGGGAGCGUAGACGGUUACGUAAGUCUGGAGGGAAAGGCCGGGGCCCAACCCCGGGACUGCUCUGGAAACUCUUGAACUUGAGUGCAGGAGUGGUAAGCGGCCUUCCUAGUGUAGCGGUGCACUGCGUCGAUAUUCGGAGGACCACCAGUGGCGACGGCGGCUUACUGGACUGUACCUGACGUUGCGGCUCGAACGCGUGGGGAGCAAACAGGAUUCGAUACCCCAGUAGUC
rnacentral:rRNA from 1 species